CCUACGGGAGGCAGCAGCCAGCAGCCGCGGUAAUAUUGCGCAAUGGAGGAAACUCUGACGCAGUGACGCCGCGUAUAGGAAGAAGGUUUUCGGAUUGUAAACUAUUGUCGUUAGGGAAGAAAAAAGACAGUACCUAAGGAGGAAGCCCCGGCUAACUAUGUGCCAGCAGCCGCGGUAAU
rnacentral:rRNA from 1 species